UGACAACCUUCUUACUGAAAUCUCUAUACAUUUCCAAGUAUUAUUAGGCCAUGUGGCUAUGUGGCUGCAAGGAGACGGCUCAAGGUCAAGGUGCCCGGAGGAUUCAGGAUACCAGUGAUUGCCUGGGCCUGGUUCACAGGCAGAUCAGCUAAAUGAAAGACCGAAGGUGUCCUGGGCCAUUGCUGCUGUGCAGCCCUCAAGGAAGUUGCUGACAACUGUGUGUGGAAAAGAGAACUCUGCUUAAUCUGGGCUGUGGUGUUGCCCCAGAAAACAGCAGCCAGAAUGCACCUUGUUACAUCGUCACCCACCCAUGACCACACUGGUCAGACCUGUGCAGCCAGGCAGCAGAAGCCAUCUUGGACAAUGAGGUGACUGUAAGGAUGGAGAUUAAUUCGAGGACAGUGGAGUGGAACGAUGGAGGCCUGAUGAACGUGAAGCCACCAUUUUAGCCCUGGGCUACCUAUCUCUGAAAUUAUUUUAUCUGACGAGAGAAAUAAACUUCUAUUUUGUCUCAGCUACUAUUGUUUUAGGACUUGGCUAUGUCACAGAUCUAAAACCCACUUGAUUUACUCCUGCAAUCAAAAUAUAUUGACACAGAAAAGACAACAAAUAAAU
rnacentral:lncRNA from 10 species